CACACACUAGAUUACCAAUUUC
rnacentral:miRNA from 1 species